GGCAGAGGGGAAACAGUCCAUGGCAGGGCAGCAGGGAGUACCCGGCGGGGAGCCUCCCUUCUUUCCCUUCAUAUUCCAUCUGGACUGUAAGCCUAUUGGUGCCACUCACAGGUUAUUGCUUCCCGUUACACACACCCAGAACUCCACUCAACCAAUCAGUGGGCUAAUUUAAUUAUCACACUCUUAAUCCAUAUCCACGCAUCUUUAAUCCAUACUCACACACCCUAGAGCCAGCUACUUCUGAAAAGCCCCGUGCAUGAGGGCAUGAGGCUUUGGGGGGACAUCUAGAAUGUACGCUGUAACUUGUAGUGUGGAAUUCCACAGAAACUCUUGGGAAGGAAGGUUGCAUGAGCGUUGCAGGUUGUAAUCCUGUUUUUUCCCUGACCUCAUGACAGUAGGAAGCUUUGAGAGGAAACCAUCAUCGGAAGAGUCUAAUGGUAUAUGAAGGUUGAACCCACUGAAGAACCUGCCCUUGGGAAUUUGCAGCGAGUGUGCAAGAAUAAAAGGGAGUGCGGCUCUCACAGGGAUGAGAGGGGGGUAAAUUUAAAACCUACUAUCUCUCAGCUUUUCCUAGGGUCUCCCUGCAGUACCUGUCCCAGUCUGUGUUCACCUUGUAGAGUUAGUGGAGACCCCGCUGAACCCCGUAAGUGACCCCAGCCUAUAAGCAACCUAUAGAUGCUGUGUCCUUUCUAUUGUUGCUGGGACCUUGACCUCUGAUGGGGGAAUUUUAGGCACAUUCAGUAACUGUGAAAAAAACUGCGGGCUUGGAAUCACAAGUUGGGAUUCCAGUGGAGGACGGUCAUGAGCUGACACCAUCGCCGCGGCAUGUGGGAAGCAGAGUCGAGACGUGAGACCCAAGUUCGAGUCCUACCUGGUGCUCUCUAGUUGGAUGGUGCUAAAAGUGGGCGGGUGGGGGUGGGGUGCUCAGGGCGGGGUCUGAAGGGGCCCUUUCCACAGGUCUUCAAGGGGAGACACGCAGUACAGGGGGAAAGGGGCCAGCUGCUCAAGGAGCUCUGGGGUAUUAGGCUGCACUGCCUCCUCGGUUCUCACAUCAGCUGCCAGGCGUGAGAGACGAGGGUGAAGAGAGGUGAGAGGAGGGCAACUGCUGACGGCCAGGAGCUAGCCUGGUGCUCGGAGCUGGGCCACGGCGUUUUCUUGUGCACUAUAAACAAACAAUCUCAGAACACCAGCCUCCGACACGGGCUGCCGUGGCCGUGAUGAAGGGAGAUGAGAAGAAUGUGCAGAAUUUCUGCAAGCAUGGGCCAAAGCAAGGCCAGGUGUACGUCGCGAAGUACCAACACGCCCUCGCACCCAGUCCGUCGCCUGCGUGAGCGCUGUUUCACCGUUUCCUCUGCCUCCCUUCUGACCUGACGAGGCGUAGUAAGUUGCCCCGUGGGAAUUCCCCCUCCUGACAGCACCUAAGCCGCCGAGCCAGGGCGCAGGCCUCUGGGUGCCCCCGCACGUCCCUCCUGAGGUGGCCACAGCCGUGUGUGCUGUGCGGGCUCCGGGUACGGUGACUGCUCAACAGCUUGUUCACCGUGUGGGGUCCUGGGGGUCUGUCUGGCGGGCCCCCAGAGAAGUGUGCUGGACUGAGACAGCCGCUGGGAUCUGUUCUCAGGGUGAAAAGGGACGAGUACAUGCGGUCGUAGGUGUCGUCGUGCUUCCCUGAGCGUUGGUAAGUGCUGGUCCACACGCUGAGCCUUCCAACUUCGUGUUUCGAACCUAUCGAGUGAGGUUGAAGAGCAGGUUCAUAAUGUAUAGAAAGUGCUGGGAAGCACAGUGGCUGUAACGGGCACGUCCACGCCUACCCUUAGAACCUGCAAAUCCUCCUUUGAGACAUGGUGCGAAACCGUGAAGGUGGGGCCUGAGCUCCUUGCAUGCGGGCAGGGUCAGUCUGCUUAAGGAACCCCAGUUUGCUCCCGUGGAGGAGGUCCAAGUACCUACGCUGGAAGGCUUUCGGGCAGCGUAGGGAGGGGAAGGGCGCAGGGCAGGGUGGAGAAGGCAGGUGGCUGGAGCGGUGAUGGGGGUACAGUGCAGGGUCUGGUGCCCUCUAGUGGGAAUGGCCUAAAAACGCCCCCCAAAGAGCGGCCGUGGGUCUUGCUUUUAUGCACACUACUUAGUCAUGGGUUUUCAUAAAAACCAAACAGAAAAGCUGACAGUGUAAUUCCUUAUCUUUCUGCAAAAUGGGGCACGGGGUGUCGGAGGCGACAAGAGAACGAGCUCCCUGCUACAGUGUCCUCAUCUCUGAAGCCUUGUGCCUUAGAACGUUGUUGACUGAAACACAUACCUCGUCUGGGGCGGGGGCUGCGGAGCAGGCAGCUGCAGCAGGAGAACAGAGGGCGGUUCAUUUUCGCUCCUCUUUAGCUUAUUAACGUCACAAGGCAGGAAGAGGGAAAGAAGAAAGUGACAUCUUUGAGACACGGAUGGAGGCAUCGAAAUCAAAGAUGGAGAAGUGAAGUAUUAGGAAGUCUGCGCUGACAUUCUGAGAGCAAGAGCUGCAGAAGAAGUGCAUGGUGACGGUGUGAGGAGAAUAUGCAACAGAGAAAAUUUGCCAAGUGGAGCUGAAGGGCACAGGGAGAACAGGGUGUUACUGCUAGGUGUGGCUGGUUAGGAGCGACUUCCGUCAUUCUGAGAUUUGGACGAAGCUGCUUGAUGGAAUUUAUUUUAAAAAUAGAUUUUGGGAAGGCAGGUAAAAGUUUUAUCCUUAAAAACUUUUUAUUACAGGGAAUUUUUAAAAAAGUAAUGUAGUGAGCGCAGGACACUGAGCCAUAAACCCAGGACUCAGCUUUGGUGGAGAACGAUGGGCGGUCUGGUCUCAGCACUGUUCAGGUAGAGUUGGAACGGUGCCACCUAACAAGCCUUCGUCACGCAGGGUCUCUAAACCCGUGAAGCAUAAUGCAGGGGGUGUUAAUGCAACCCGCUGACAGGCACCUCUGGGGAUCGUCCACUUAGUGUUCCUCUUUCUUGAAAUGAUAUGAAUCAAUGUAAGUGUGGAAACGGUUUUGUGAUACAGAGGUUUUAUCUUUGGAAUAACUUAAACUUGUAUAAUGACCAAGUACCAUGAAAUACAGUGACCCUGAAGUUUCA